UUAGAACAGAAAUACUGUGCUAAAAAUAAAUUAUCCUCAUUCUACACAUGGUCACAAUCAGUCUUCUCCAGCUUUGCCCUCUCUAAUGUUACAGUACGUGUCGUAGCAUGGAAUUUAAAGUAAGUUUACAGUGUAUAAAUGUCAUGCAUUUGAUGCUAGUUUUCUAUGAUCUGUACUAGCUACUCUCGUGGAUAGUUUACUACAUCUCCCUCCUGAUAUAUCAAACAGAUUGUGGAAGAUUUGAGGCAUUAAAGACUUGCUUGACAAACCCCUGGAAGAUUGUGAGUUUUACUAGUUUAAUGGUGUACAGACCUCUGUCUCCUCACAAAAAAUAUAUAUAUUUUACAACAUCCAGGAUUCAUGAGAUCACGCAUAUUUUUCGCAAAGCUGAUGAAUUACAGGUUACCUCUUGGAGUUAAGAGACCAGAAUUGAGGAACAGAACAACGUCCAAAUGGCAUAAAAGUUCAAGCCUCCAGACACCUCCUGACACUGUCAUAGAAAGGACGCCUUCAGUAUUUCAUAGAGAGUACUGUAAAACACCCCCCAGCAUGGCCUCUACCUCUUUUCACAGAGUGAAACUCUGAUUUAUGUUCAGCUUGUGAUCCACCACACCCCUUAAAAUCUUUUCUCAACCGUAGCUGGUUAAUUGUUCUGCAUUCUGGUUUUGUGUGUACAAUUCUUCAGGCAUAUGCUAAGUAUUUCUCAGCUGACUUUAUGGGACUCUGUAUUUCCUAAGCUAUCUUGAAUUUUUCAAGAUUAUACUAUAGCCUAAUAGGCUAUCAGCUCCUCCCAGUUCAAUGUGCUUUGAAUAUUUAGUAAUUGCAUUCAUAGAAAUUGAUCAUCAUGGACUAAAAAGUAUUUGGAAAAUGUUGUUUGAGGAUGGUUCUUGGGAUUUAGCUCAAAGGUUUACUGUUUGGGAUCAAUAGGGAC
ensembl:lncRNA